AAAUGACCUUGCCAUGUCAGGGACGAACACCUUACACUACACUACCCAGCAACAGGGCCAUACGGUGCAGAGAGGACCUGCCCACGCCGGGGAUUGUCACCUUACAGUAUGCCACACAAUUACAGGGCCAUGAAAAGACAGCUGCAAGAUGACACAGGGCAAGAUGGUUUCCCUAUGCGUAAAGAUUGAGCACCAACCUCCGAGAUGGAUCAAGAGUAGGGCCACUAGAAGCACCUGUAUGGAUAGGACACGAGUGU